GUCUUCGUGGCGCAAUUGGCUAGCGCGUUUGACCGUUAGCUACUACCUAUAAUAUGUGUAUCUAAUAUCAGGAGGUUCCUGGUUCAAGCCCAGGCGAGGACG